GAUGAACGCUGGCGGCGUGCCUAAUACAUGCAAGUCGAGCGAACAGACGAGGAGCUUUCUCCUCUUACGUUAGCGGCGGACGGGUGAGUAACACGUGGAUAACCUACCUAUAAGACUGGGAUAACUUCGGGAAACCGGAGCUAAUACCGGAUAAUAUAUUUAACCGCAUGGUUCAAUAGUGAAAGACGGGUUUGCUGUCACUUAUAGAUGGAUCCGCGCCGAAUUAGCUAGUUGGUAAGGUAACGGCUUACCAAGGGAACGAUGGGUAGCCGACCUGGGAGGUUGACCGGCAAAACUGGACGUGGGAAACGGCCCGGACCCCUACGGGAGGAGGAAGUAGGGAACCUUCGCCAAUGGGCGAAAGCCUGACGGAGAAACGCCGCGUGAGUGAUGAAGGUCUUCGGAUCGUAAAAUUCUGUUAUUAGGGAAGAAAAAAUGUGUAAGUAAAUAUGCACGUAUUGACGGUACCUAAUCAGAAAGCCACGGCUAACUACGUG
rnacentral:rRNA from 1 species